UUGACCUCGGAUCAGGUAGGGAUACCCGCUGAACUUAAGCAUAUCAAUAGGNNGGAAGGAA
rnacentral:rRNA from 1 species